UCUGCCACGGAACACAAUUUGCCAGCGCUGUACGAAUGCAUUCUGAAGCCAGGUGUAUCAGGUUUUUAAAAAGGCUCCUCGGCAGAUUAGAACGUGCUGUAGAAGCAGAAAAAGUGAGGCGACCCGCUCAUUGCCACACCGCUGCGGCUCCUCUCCCCACCCCCUCUACGUGGCAGAGACGGAGCUCCGCCCUUUCCGCUUGGUGUUCGGUUCCUGGGUUGGCGACAGCGACUUUAGCCAUGACUUAAGGAAGUACAGUUAGAGCUGCAAUUAAAGGCGUGUGUCACCACAUCUGGCCUUGUUUGGUUUUAAGACAAGGUUUUCUGUAAUGAAGGAUAGUCUUAAAUUGGCUUUGUAGCCAAGGGUGAUUUUGAUCCUCCAGCUUCUGUCUCCCAAAUUCUGGGAUUAUAGGCCGAGGUCGCCCGGCGCGGCUAGAGAGGAAGUACUAGGUUCAGAUUUCGGAGGAUUCCUCUUGGAAUCCCUUUCUGUGGUUCUGACCACUCCACAGAAAAGCCAGCUAGUUUGUGUUGUGUAACCCUGAAGUGUUCCUGGACAGGAAGCAGAGGAACGCAGUUGACCUGGCAACUUGAUGAUCUUCCUCUCAACACUUGCUUAAAUAUGUAGUGUCCCCCUAACGUCAGAGAUCUGGCCUCAGAUUUUAUAAUUUUAUGUUUUAAAAUAUUAUGUGAGUGUGAGUGCGCCUGUGCUUGCCACAGCGCGCAGGUGGAAGUCGGGAGCUUUCUCUCCUGCCAUGUGGCCUUGGCUGCAGGUGACUUGACUUCUCGCUCAGUUCAGAUAUUUUUAAAAAGGAGCACCGGUCAGGAUGGUAGCAACCACUAAUAUCUAUGUGAACUAAAAGACACGUAGUUUUGGUUGUGAGCCCGCCUUUAAUCCCAGCACUCGGGAGGCAGAGCCAGGCGGAUCUCUGUGAGUUCGAGGCCAGCCUGGUCUACAGAGCGAGAUCCAGGAAAGCCAGGGCUACGCAGAAAAAUCAAAAGAAGAAAAGAAAAGGAAAAACAAGAAAUAAAGCCAAAGAGGAAUAGACAAAGAAAUGCCCAGAGCAUUGUUUAUCGAGUAAAUGCUAUAGAAUAUAGGGAGCACUUCUAAGCACUUUAGGCUUAGAAUAUUGCUAUGAACAGGAGAAAGAAGCCAGAUGGCCAUUUUGUUUUGUUUGCAUUUUACAUCUUGUGGCAGAGAAAGGCAGUGUGGUUAAGAGCAAAGUUUGGGCCGGGCGGUGGUGGUGCAUGCCUUUAAUCCCAGCACUCGGGAGGCAGAGGCAGACAGAUCUCAGUGACUUCGCGGCCAGCCUGGUCUACAAAGUGAGUUCCAGGACAGCCAGGACUGUUACACAGAGAAACCCUGUCUUGAAAAACAAAAACAAAGGAUCAUGAGACCCCGACUGAGGCUUGAGACCUGAAGCUGCCGUCAUCCUUCCUGCAAUUCAAGCCCCUACAGGGAGAAUUUAGUAGUCGUUUUGGAUUUCAUGUUGGCUGAGAUGGUGAUGCCACCCAUAAAACAGGGAUUUUUGGACAGCCAGACUCAAAAGGAUUGGGAUUUCCUUUGCAAGUCUUCCUUCAGUUCCUUCACAGGAACCAAAGAGGAUGUGUACCGACCAUGAUGGUUGCUGGAGGACAACAGAGCCUAGCCAGUCACCUUGUAAUAUUGGAGAUUUCUUGAGGUGUAGCUUGGGGCAUGGGCCUGAGGGGCAGAGGGGCCACCUUGCCUGCUCCUCACUCACUGGAGUUGAACAUCCCUUCAUCACUUAUUUUCUGAAGCUCCCUACCAGCAUCAGCAAAUGCUCCUGCCUAGUUGGGGCCAGGAAACCCUGCUUCUGAGGGAAGAAUCCGUACAUUUGACUCGAGGUCAGUGAGGGUUCCCAGCUCCUUCUGUCAGAGCCACCUCUCAGCCACAGGAUGGUUGAGUAUUAGCCAUGCUCCUCCCAAAAUAAGUCUGCAAAUGUUGGGAAUGAAUGACUCCAGCUCCUUUCUCACCCCUGGUCAUUCUUCUAGCCAUGUGGAGAUGGAAAGCCUACUGGACACCCCCCACUCCCCCCACACCCUAAUUUGGUUUUGGGAAAAAAUUCGGGGUUGGCCCAUACCAUGUUGGCAGAACCCUUCCUGGCUGUGUUCACCGUUCCUGUCCUGAAGUUCAGCUGUGCUUCACCAUGUGUCUGAGCUCAUGAACUGCUUCCAUUCCACACAAGGGAAGUAGCCCUUGAGACAUUGGAAAGUCAUUCUCUGUUUUGUAGAAACCCUCAGGACCCACCCAGUAUAUGCCAGUGUAUGCUAGCUCUUCAGGCUGUCUGGAGCUCUGUGAUCUUGGGCUCCACCCAUUCUUGCCAGCAUUCAUUACUCUGGAGGUGGGGGCUCUGUAGAUAACCGAGGGACUGACAGGUAUGUGGUCAGAAUCAACCAGCCUUCUCCUGGCUAUGCAGAUUCCUAGUGACUGCUUUUGUCAGGCCCCUGUGUGGUCGCAUGAAUCUUCCUCUGCUUCUCCCACUCAUCAUUUUCCUCCACACAAGCCCUUAUACAUUACUUUUCUGCCUAGAAAGCCCUCCAUAGCCUACCCUCCCUUCUCAUAGCUAAAACUAAACUUCCUUGGAUCUUUCCUGAGGUUGCUGGGAAGUGCUCAGUGACCCCCAGGUUAAGGUCAGGUUCCUUUGGUGCUCUCAUGGCCAUGCUUGUAGUCACUGAUCCUAAAUUCAGUGACUACUUACGGGACUCUUAGGGCUUCCUUUAUGAGUGUCCUGGGGAUAGCAUUGGUCUGUUUCUGCCCACAUUUUGUAUUUUCAGCACCAUGUUGAGGACUUGGCCUGUAAAAGAUUCUAAUCUUCAUGGUCAGCUUCACAGACUUAUUUUUAAAUGUCAAAGGAAGGGUGUUCCAGAUAGAGGGAUCAGCAUAGGUUCAGAGUCUUGGCUUUGAAAGUUUAAGUAGUAGACAGAAACCCUAGAUAGGCAAGGAUCACUAGUGAGGAAUGUGUUUCUUCCUAAAGAGUCAGAAUUUUGUCCUGAUAAUAGUCUCAGUCUCUGUCUCUGUCUCUGUCUCUCUCUCUCCCUCUCCCUCUCUCUCCCUCUCCCUCCCUCUCCCUCCCUCUCUCCCUCCCUCCUUCCCCCCUCUCCUCUCUCUCUCUCUGUUUUUGGUUUUUCAAGACAGGAAUUCUCUGUGUUCUCCUGCCUGUCCUGGAACUCUCUGUAGAUCAGGCUGGCCUCAAACUCAGAGAUUCACCUGCCUUUGCCCCCAGAAUUGAGUGCUGGGAUUAAAGGCGUGCACCACCACUGCCCAGCUUCUCAAGUCAUCUCUUUAGGUUAAGAGCAGAGAAACUGGACUUUGUUCGUGAUUCUUCAUAAAAUCUAAGCAAUGAAACCAUUGCCCUAUUGCAGUUACUUUUAUUAUUUAGUUCCGAGAUCUUGAUUUUGUAUCUGCUCUGUCACUUAUGGACCUUGUUUUCUCAACUGGACAUAACAGCUCUAACAUUUAAAAAAUAUUGAGGGGAUCCUGCUGCCUCUACUCUGAGAGCUGGAGAAGUGGAGCAUUUUAUCUGUUAAUUCACAGAUGCUAUGGAUACUGUUAGUAAGGUUCUGGCUAGACCAGGCUGGCCUUCCCCUGAACACUGUGAACACCAAGGCCAUGUUCUGGCUAUAGGGCCUUAGUCUACACUACUAAGUCUACAGGGCUUGCAUUUACACCAGUGGUUCUCAAUUGGAUAUUUAAACAAUUUUUUUUUAAUGUGAUGGAUGUUUUGCUUAUAUUUGUGUCUGUGUGUGCAAUGCCCAAAGAGACUAGAAGAGGGUGUGGGAUCCCCUGGAAAUGGUGUUACAGAGGGUUGUGAGUUGCCUGCCAUGUGGGUGCUGGGAAUAGAACCUGGGUUUUUUUGGAAGAGCAGCCGGGGCUCUUAACUGCUGAGCCAACUCUCUAGCUCUAUGGGGAUGAUUUUUGAAUGUCCCCACAGGUGACGUUUUGCAGUGUCUGGAGACAUUUGAUGCUGUCAUAACUGGUGGAGGAGGCAAGUGUAUCUCUGUUAACUGGAAUCCUGAGACAUUAAGUAUCUGACAACACACAGAACAGCCCCUCAACCCCAAAGAAUUAUCUUGUUCAAAGUAUUAAUUCUGAGCUUGAGAAACUUUAGUCUAGUUGAAGUGUAGACCAGGUCUUCAUGCCUGUGAUGUCCAGGCCCAGUCAUAUAAGAUAUAAGGCUAGCAAGUGUCUGAUAAGUUGGGAAAGGAAAACUACAGAGUCAUCGGGCUCUAUGAAGCUGCAGGGUAACUCUAACCAUAGUGUGUUUAAAUAUAAUGGAAGCCUUAGAGCUAAGGUGAUGAUGCAGGUGGAGCUGAAGAUUUGUUUUUUGUUGUUUGUUUGUUUGUUUGUUUGUUUUUGUUUUCCGAGACAAGGUUUCUCUGUUUAGCUUUGGUGCCUGUCCUAGAUCUCGCUCUGCCACCACCACCUGGCUAGGAGUUGAGGAUUUUAGAUGUAGGAAAUCUGUGUGAAGAUGGGGUCCAUGGUGCAGCCACAGUAGAGAGGAGCAAGUUUUAACAGUCUGGCAGGUGAUGCAGCAGUCAACAGCUGAACCUGGAAAGGAAGACAUUCAGUAAAAUGAGUGCCUGGUACGUAUGAUUGUACCACCCCACCCCACAAAGUUUUAGUAAUACAUACUGCUAUUUUAUUUGUUUUUUUUUUUGUUUUUUUUUUUUGUUUUUUGGUUUUUCGAGACAGGGUUUCUCUGUGUAGCUUUGCGCCUUUUCUGGGACUCACUUGGUAGCCCAGGCUGGCCUCGAACUCACAGAGAUCCGCCUGGCUCUGCCUCCCGAGUGCUGGGAUUAAAGGCGUGCGCCACCACCGCCCGGCUAUACUGCUAUUUUAAAGGUGUAAAAAAUUCCAAUUUUGGCUGGGCAGUGGUGGUGAAUACCUUUAAUCCCAGCACUCGGGAGGCAGAGACAGGCGGAUCUCUGUGAGUUCGAGGCCAGCUUGGUCUACAGCGCGAGAUCCAGGACAGGCACCAAAACUACACAGAGAAACCCUGUUUUGAAAGAAAAACAAAAAGAAUUUUUCAAUUCUGUUUCCUUCAGUGCUACUGAAAAAUUCAAAGUUGAUCUCCUUGUAGUUCACUUGGUAGAGUACUCGCCUAACAUGGAUAAAGCCCCAGCUUCAGUCCCUUGCAUCCCAUAAAACUGGGUGUGGUGGCACAUGCUUGUAGUCUCAAAGCUUGGGAGGUGGAGGCAGGAAGAUCAAACAUUUAAGAUCAUUUUUUUUUUUUUUUUGUAUAUAUUGAGUUCAAGGCCAGCCUGAGAUACAUGAGAUCUGUCUAAAAACAAAACCAGAACAACAAAAACCCCAGUAUUAAUUGUGUCUGGGAGUACUUGUUGCUCUUCUAGACGGCCUGGGUUGUGUUCCCUGCACCCGUAUUGGGUGACUCAAAACCACAUGUAACUCUAGCUUUAGGGAUCAAGAUGCCCUCUUUUGCCUCCAAAGACACCGGCACAUGCAUAGCAUGCACACACAUACACACACACACACACACACACACACACACACACACACACACAAAACAUGAAGCAUCACCAGAAUUAGAAUGGUUUUGUGGCUAUUAUACCAAUAGAUUUUUCUCCUCGUUCAUGUUCUCUGAUUCAGCCUCUGAGAUUUUUGUCCAAUUAUAGGAGAAAUAUUUACCCACUUCUGGCCUCCUUGGUCACCUGCCUUAUGUGCACACUACCUGCCCCCCCCCAUUAAAAAUAAAAUGAAACCCUGUCUCAAAACAAGCAAAAAAACAGCAGCAACAGCAACAACAAAAACAAAUAUGGGCUAGAAAGAUGGUUCAACUGGUGAGCGAACUUAAUGCUUUUCCGGCAAAUGGGAGGUCAGUUCCCAGCUCCCAUGUCAAGCAACUCAUGACCGGCUGUAACUCCAGUUCCAGGGCCUUUGACACCCUCAGGCACCUGAACUCAUAUGCACAUACCCACACACAGACAUGGGCACACAUAAACAUAAUUAACAAUUGUAGCUGGAGUUUUCCUGCCUGGCCUACAGUCAGGACAAAUCUCUCUCACCUGCCAGUCCCACAGCCACUCAAACCCGACCAAGUAAACACAAAGACUUAUAUUGCUUACAAACUGUAUGGCCGUGGCAGGCUUCUUGCUAACUGUUCUUACAGCUUAAAUUAAUCCAUUUCUAUAAAUCUAUACCUUGACACAUGGCUCAUGGCUUACCGGCAUCUUCACAUGCUGUUUCUCAUCGUGGCGGCUGGCAGUGUCUCUCUGACUCAGCCUUCCACUUCCCAGCUUUAUUCUCCUCCUUGUCCCGCCUAUACUUCCUGCCUAGCCAAUGGCCAGUGUUUUAUUUAUUGACUAAUCAGCAACACAUUUGCCAUACAGAACAUCCCACAGCAAAAAAUAAAUUUAAAAGAUAGGUAAAACAUGAUCAGUCUCUUUCAGGAGUACCAAGUAAAAGGCCUAUGGUGACCCUUCAUCCAGCUUUAUCCAGGUUUUCAGUCGUUUUCUCCCUCCUUGAUUUGUGCCUUGGUGAGAAGUACAUUGUACUAAGAUAUACCAGUAUAGACUUAAAUACGUACAGCAUAAGUAAAGUUCCUGGAAACUUUUAAUGUUCCCUCCCUUAUGCUUUUAAGGAACUAACAUUUUCUCUUUUAUUCAAUAAAAUGUUGUUUAAGAUACAGUAUAAAAUUGUCCUGAUGGUGCAGGCUUGUCUUUUCAGCUGCUUGGGAAGCUAAAGUGGGAAGAUUGCAAGUUCAAGGUCUGACUGGACUAUGAUGUGAGUUCAAGGCCAGCCUCCACCACUAAGAGACCCUGACUGAACACACAAAAGGAGGGCUGGAACAUAGUUCAAUUGUAGGUCACUUGCUUAGCAUAUUCAAGGCCCUAGGCUCAAUGUCCAAUGUGGGAUGUUUGAAGUUAGGAAUAGCAAGCAGCUUGUGUAAAAUGCUGUCCAGUCAGAUCCCAGUAAUGACACAGAGAUUUCUUAUUUUAUGAAAGCUCGCCUUAUAGCUUAGGCUUGUUAUAACUUAAAUUGGCCCAUUUAUAUUAAUCUACAUUUGCUACAUGGCUUGUGGCUGUUACCUCUCCUCCUGUACAUCCUGCUUGCUCUGCCUCUCCUGGAUCUCCCCUGUGCUUCAGUUAUUUCCUCCCACUUCUUCUCUCUGCCUGGAACUACUGCCUAUACCUCCUGCCUAGCUAUUGACCGUUCAGCUCUUCAUUAAACCAAUUACAGCAAUAGAUCUUCACACAGUGUGCAAAUAUCCCACAACAGCAGCUACUCUAGUGGAGCCUUCAACACACUCUGAAGUCCCUUUUCUCCAUUUCUGGGCUUGAGCUAAACUGUUAAGUUGCAGAGAGGAAGGGGGUUUUGCACACCAUUUUAUACAUACCUGACUUGGUGCUGAACAGACAGCAAGCAUUCCCAGCACAAGUGACACUUGGGAGGUGGAAGCAGCAGAACUGGGAUGUCAAGGUUUACUCCUGAUACAUGCUGAGAUCAAGGAGCCUGAGUAAGAAAUAAAACACACACCAGACACCUACCUAGGGCUGAAGAGAUGGCUCAGUGGUUAAGAGCACUUGCUGCUCUGUGGAGGCCCAAACUACUCAGGGUCAGAGAAUCUCAGCUUGCUUUACUCAGCAGGGCUCCAUAAUGAGAUGAUUUGACCACGGGCGUGUUUACCAGGUGUUUGGAAGGGUCUACCCUUGGCUGUAUGGUGUGCUUUGAUCUUGUAAGGGGGAAGUCUUUUGCCUCUCCCCCUGGCAUGUUAUAGAAAGCCUUUUGAAUAAAGCCUGAAGGCUGUUGGGUAUUGGUCUAGGUCUUUCCGAAGCUAUCCUGUGUUUCUGUCUUUCUUCUCGUUGGCUAGGUCUCUCUUUCUAAUAUUUUCUUAUCCCCCUCUGUCCUCCUCCUAAGAACCCUAGAAAAGGAGGGAAAGGUCGGAGCUGGACUUCCAAGGACCCACACACUGCUCUUACAGAAGACCCCAGUUCUUAGUACUAUAGCUCCAAGGCUACCUGCACACACAUAAUAACAUGAUAUACAUUCAUACAGAUACAGAAACAUACACAUAAGGGGCUAGAGACUUAUAAGAAGAGCACUGACUGUUCUUCCAGAGGACCCGGUUCAGUUCCCAGCAACCACAUGGCAGGUAACAAUUGUCUGUAACUCUAAGAUGUGACACCCUUACACAGACAUACAUGCAGGCAAAACACCAAUGUAAAAGAAAAAAUGAAAAAGCCGGGCAAUGGUGGCAUACACCUUUAAUCCCAGCACUCAGGAGGCAGAGGCAGGUGGAUCUCAGAGCUCAAGACCAGCCUGGUCUACAGAGCAAGUUCCCGGACAGCCAAGGCUACUCAAAUCCUGUCUCAAAAAACAAAACAAAACAAAAACAAAAAACCAACCAAACAAACAAAAAUUCACCCUGAGUGUGAUGGUACAUGUCUUUAAUCUCAGCACUCAGGAGGCUGAGGUAGGCAGAUUGUUUGAGUUCAAGGCCCCCCUGGUCUAUCUAUGGAGUUCGUGGACCACUAGGACCACACCAAGAGACCAUGUCUCAAAAUAACAACAACAACAACAAAAUUACACUUUUGUUGGGACAAUAUUUUUGGUCUUAAACUCUGUACUCAAGGAUGACCUUGAACUCUUGAUCUACCUGCCUCUUUGUCCCAAGAGCUGGGGUUACAAAUGUUCCUGCUCCUGUUUUAUAAUGUUUUUCUUCUCCCUUUCCCCCAUUUAACAUACUGAUCCAGGCCUGAUUCUAGGGACUAACAGGAGACAAUAGUGUUGUUGACAAAUUUGUAAUCUGCUGUCAGUUUGCAGAUAAGAAACCCCAAACAGCGGUAAAUUGUUAAACAUUCUGAAGUGUCUUGUAGACCAAAAAGGGACAAGGUUAGUUAACCACUUCCAUGGCAUUUGAAGAAAAUACUGGAUUCGAGAGUUACUGGAAUUGGCCAUGGAAAAUUAGGGUUAUGCUUACAGCGGUUUCAAGUUGAAAUAAGCUACUGUGACAAUGUGCCGCUCCACAGGCCACCCAUAUUCUCAGGGGCUUUUCCUUUCCUGGGUGGGUGCUGGCAGAGGGUGUGCUCAGUGUCUCCUCUAUAGGUGUGUAGCCCCAAAGCCAAAAUUAGAGAGAGAGAGAGAGAGAAGGUUAGUGGGGAGAUAAACACUUUCCGGAACUGCAAAGAAAACACUCCCUUUCUGGCUUCAUUUUUCCUCAUGUUUAGAGACACAGCAUGCUCAGGGUGUCUCAAGUAGAACUUGAGUGGAAUGUUUUCAGGUCUCUUGAACUGACUGAGAGCUGUGGUGCCUACUGGUGUGCAUCUCCAUGGCAGGCAUGAGCUGCCCAUCUUCUGGUGCUUAAGGGACACAACAGAACCACCUCUCCAGCUGCUCUGCUCUGAUUCAUCAUGUGCACCUAGAAGAAUCUUCUCCGUGUCCCCAUUGUGGAGGUUUCCAAAAGGAGGCGCUCCAGCUCCCCCUCCCCCAGUCUCCUAUUGUCUGGACCAUUGCCAUUGCUACAGUUCAUGGUUAACUUCAACUAGGGAGUGUUGAGCGUCACUGGUGUGGCCCAGGCUGCUCUUCCAUCGGAUAUUCUAGCCAGGAACUCUGUCCCCGAGCAUCUUUCGUUCUUGUUUUUCAAGUUUCUGUUUGUUAUUGCUGGGCAGGGACAGCAGAGGCUCUGCUAAACAAGAGACUACAUGAGAUGACUGGUGGAAGAACUGCCGUGGCUCCAGGGUGACCGUCAUAGUUAGCUUCAGCUGUCAACUUGACACAAACCUAGAACCAGCUGGGAGGAGGGUAAACCAGCAACUGAGAAACUGCCUCUCUCAGGCUGACCUGUUGCCAUGUCUGUGAAGCAUUUUCCUAAUUGCCUAUUGAUGUAGGAGGGCGUAGCCCACUGUGGGCGGUGCCAUCUGUAGCCAGGUGGGCUUGGGCUGUGUCAGGAAGAUAGCUUAGCAAGUCAAGGGAAGCAGUCUAGUAGGCAUUCCGCCCCAACUCCAGGUUCCUGCUUGAGUUCCUGUCUUGACUUCCCUUGAUGAUGGACUAUGACCUUGAAGAACCAAAACACCCUCAUUUCAAGCAAGCCCCUCACCCCAGCUUGAAACAGGCCUGAGUUUCAAAAUUCUCAGAGCUGCUGACAUAGGUCUCAGGACAAAGUCAGGAUGUUGAAGAGCCAUCUGGUAGCAACUGAUUAACCAUAGAAUACCCCAAUGCCGGAGAUGGUCAAAAGUACAAAGUCAGGAUGUUUGAAGGACUAUCUGGUAACAAUUGAUUAACCACAGAAUGCCCCAAUGCCAGAGGUAGUCUAUAAAGUUUGACAAACAACAAGUUAAAACUAGAAAGUAAGAUAACACAGAAAUUCUGAAAAGCCCCUAAAACUUGAGCCAAUCAGAAUUGUACCCGUACUAGCACCCCUAAAUGAUGUAACCUUGUGGUUUUUGCCUUUAAAAACUGAGCUUGCAGAGGGGCGGGCACCUCCUCCAGCCUCUACUGUGUUGGAUGUCUUGACAAGGUCCCUGCUGCGUGGCUUAUACUGCUUCAAUAAACCUUGCUGUUGCAUCUUG